GCCAGCAGCCAUAUCACUUUGCAACUCGCAACUGGCAACCCACUGAAAUUCAGCAAGUGUGAGCCUUGCCAGUACCUGGAUGGGAGACCUCCUGAGAAAAACUAAGGUUGCUGCUGGAA
rnacentral:rRNA from 1 species